GACGGUAAGGUAUUGGCUUACCGUGGCAGUGACGGUUAACGGGGAAUUAGGGUUCAAUUCCGGAGAGGGAGCCUGAGAAACGGCUACCACAUCUAAGGAAGGCAGCAGGCGCGCAAAUUACCCAAUUCUAACAGCAUAAGAGAGGUAGUGACAAGAAAUAACAGUACAAGGCAGUUAAAAUGCUUUGUAAUUGGAAUGAUAGAAAUUUAAAUACUUUUUAAAGUAUCAAUUGGAGGGCAAGUCUGGUGCCAGCAGCCGCGGUAAUUCCAGCUCCAAUAGCGUAUAUUAAAAUUGUUGCAGUUAAAAAGCUCGUAGUUGAAUUUUUGCUAAAAAUAACCGGUCUGCUUUUAUUAAUAAAAGUGGUAUCUUGGUGUGUUUUUAGCAAUAAUGUCCUUUGAAAUGUUUUUUACUUUAUUGUAAAAAGCAAUUUUCAGGAUUUUUACUUUGAGAAAAUUAGAGUGUUUCAAGCAGGCUAACGUUUUGAAUACUGCAGCAUGGAAUAAUAAAAUAGGAUUUUAGUUCUACGUUAUUGGUUUUAAGAACUAAAUUAAUGAUUGAUAGGAGCAGUUGGGGGCAUUUGUAUUUAACUGUCAGAGGUG
rnacentral:rRNA from 1 species